AAAAAAAAAAGCAUUUCUAAAUCAUUCCUCAAACUACUUUUUAGUAAGAAGCUAUCUUCAAAGGAAUAAUCUACAUCCUGGAUCCUGAGAAUGAUCGAUCAUUCAAAAGCAAAGCAACAAUUUUAGAGACUUGGGAGUCCCAUUUUAGAAAGAAGAACAUUUGUUUCCAGAGUCCUUCUCACAUCCUGAGCUAGAAAAUAAGAGAUUUCCUUUGGCUUAUCCAUCUUCAGGAUGGAUUUGACAAUGCCUUUGAUUGACCUCGCAGCUGCUCAACACGCAAAGCUGAAUACAGACAAUAUGGAGGCCUCAGGCUCAGAGGAUGGCUGAAUCUUCAGAUGGAGGGAGCUGCAGUCACUGAACCACUGCAGUCAGAGAAGUACUCACAGACCAGGAACGCUCAACUUGAACUGUUAUGUGACAGUAGAAUAAUAAACUUCUAUUUUGGUUUGAGUAA